AUUGAACGCUGGCGGCGUGCUUAACACAUGCAAGUCGAGCGGCAGCGCGGGAGCAAUCCUGGCGGCGAGCGGCGAACGGGUGAGUAAUGCUUCGGAAUCUGCCCUUCAGUGGGGAAUAACCAGUCGAAAGACUGGCUAAUACCGCAUACGAACUACGGUUGAAAGCAGGGGAUCGCAAGACCUUGCGCUAUUAGAUGAGCCGAAGUCGGAUUAGCUAGUUGGUGAGGUAAAGGCUCACCAAGGCGACGAUCCGUAGCUGGUCUGAGAGGACGACCAGCCACACUGGGACUGAGACACGGCCCAGACUCCUACGGGAGGCAGCAGUGGGGAAUAUUGGACAAUGGGGGCAACCCUGAUCCAGCGACGCCGCGUGUGUGAAGAAGGCCUGCGGGUUGUAAAGCACUUUUAGUGGGGAUGAAAAGCCGAGGGCUAAUACCUUUCGGUCUUGACCUAACCCAAGAAAAGCACCGGCUAACUCUGUGCCAGCAG
rnacentral:rRNA from 1 species